rnacentral:rRNA from 1 species
GAUGAACGCUGGCGGCGUGCCUAAUACAUGCAAGUCGAGCGGUAAGGCCUCUUCGGAGGUACACGAGCGGCGGACGGCUGAGUAACGCGUAGGAACAUACCCCAAGUGAGGGAUAACUGCUCGAAAGAGUAGCUAAUACCGCAUGUGAUCUAAGGAUUAAAGCUUCGGCGCUUUGGGAAUGGCCUGCGUAUGAUUAGUUUGUUGGUGAGGUAAUGGCUCACCAAGACUACGAUCAUUAGCUGGUCUGAGAGGAUGAUCAGCCAGACUGGGACUGAGACACGGCCCAGACUCCUACGGGAGGCAGCAGUAGGGAAUUUUCCACAAUGGGCGAAAGCCUGAUGGAGCAACGCCGCGUGCAGGAUGAAGGCCCUCGGGUCGUAAACUGCUUUUAUAGUGUGAAGAUUAUGACGGUAGCAUAUGAAUAAGGAUCGGCUAACUCCGUGCCAGCCGCC